UACGGAGGGUGCAAGCGUUAUUCGGAAUUAUUGGGCGUAAAGGGCGCGUAGGCGGCUACUUAUGUCAGAUGUGAAAUCCCGGGGCUUAACCCCGGAAGUGCAUUUGAAACUGAGUGGCUUGAGUAUGGGAGAGGGAAGUGGAAUUCCUGGUGUAGAGGUGAAAUUCGUAGAUAUCAGGAGGAACACCGGUGGCGAAGGCGACUUCCUGGACCAAUACUGACGCUGAGGCGCGAAGGCGUGGGGAG
rnacentral:rRNA from 1 species